UACGGAGGGUGCAAGCGUUAUCCGGAUUCACUGGGUUUAAAGGGUGCGUAGGCGGGCAGGUAAGUCCGUGGUGAAAUCUCUGAGCUUAACUCAGAAACUGCCAUGGAUACUAUUUGUCUUGAAUAUUGUGGAGGUAAGCGGAAUAUGUCAUGUAGCGGUGAAAUGCUUAGAUAUGACAUAGAACACCAAUUGCGAAGGCGGCUUACUACACAGUUAUUGACGCUGAGGCACGAAAGCGUGGGGAUCAAACAGG
rnacentral:rRNA from 1 species